AGGUUACACAGCUUAUAAAAGACACAAGC
rnacentral:piRNA from 1 species